rnacentral:rRNA from 1 species
CGUUCAGGGGUAAACCUGCGAAACUCGAAUGAACGAACGGAGAGAUUCAUCGUCAUUCCGCCGGAGCUGCGGCGGCGUACCGAUGCGGCGGUAGGCGUGCGUUCGCGCGCGUUCCUCCGUCGCACGGUCGCCGCCCGCACGCGUCCGCGGACGGCGUGCACUUCUCUCUCAGUAAGACAUCGCGACCCGUUCGACGUCGGCCUAAGCGCCGCCCGGGAGCCCGGUUGCAGCCUCGGCUGCCUCCGGACCGCGGCGGCCGCCGGCCGGCCGUCGGACGGUAAAUAUCGAGAAACGCGCACGCGCUCAGCGCGUCCGGCCCGACGCAAGGCGUCGUCGUAUCCGAAGUCCUGCCCAAGCGCGGUCUUCGGUGCGGCGCGCCUGCCUAUCGCAGCCGUGCAGUCUCGGACCGUGCGCGUCUCGGUCGGCGAUGAUUAUGUUUCGGGCACCCGCAGGACCCGUCUUGAAACACGGACCAAGGAGUCUAGCAUGUGUGCGAGUCAUUGAGAUUUA